rnacentral:lncRNA from 1 species
UACUAAUCUAAAUUUGAAAUUGAAAAUUUAAAUAAUGUAUUUGUAGCCAAGCAAUACCACUCGUCGCUCAAAAAAAAUAAAGCAACACCACUCACAAAGUCCAAAACCAAAUUAAAUCUGCACAGCAAUUGCUCAGACUCAAGUUUCCAAUUUCUGCUAGCUGUGCAAAUGCAUUUACGAUUUGAGGUAAACGCUCUUCCCUUUCCAUUUAAUUAUGCAAAAUUUUGGUGGGAACUGGUGAGUUGUAGUUAAGUUCGCGCGCGUGUGUGUGGACGACGGCACCAUCGGUGGGGUAGAGGUGGUGGCAGCGCCGUAGCGGCGGCCGACAUGGCUUUUCCGUUAUGUGCGUGCAUGUGUGUGUGUGUAUGAAUUUCUGUGUCAUGUGCUGCGGCCGACGAGGAUUCCCGCCAAUAUAGCUUUCCAACUUUAUCAUCAAUUUUGUGAGUAGAUGACGAAUUAAUUAAAGGAAGAAGGACGGCGGCAAUCGAUUGAAAGGAUUAAAUUUUCGUUGCGGUUCCGGAUCGGCGCUGAUCGCGGAAUUGACUGAGGGAUUGAAUCCACGGACAGUUUGUUCACCCGACGGCUGGCGGCGGAGGAAUCGGAAGUGGAAAGAUGGCGCGGCGGAUGGAGAGAUUAUCUCGAUAGAAGGGAGAGGAGUCCGGCGGUGGUCUCCGAUUCUGAAAUGAUGGUCGGAGUGGCAGAAAUUGACGCCAGCGACGGGGGUUUGGAGAUUGCUUUUUCUUCCAAUUUUGGGGAGGGGGUUUGGAGAUUGCUUUUUCUUCCAAUUUUGACUGCAAUUUUAUUAAGUAGAAUGUCCUUUUCGAUAAAAUGCCCUUCUUCUUCUGUAUUUUUUUUAAAAAAUAAAUAAUAAAAAAAUGGCCUUCUCCAUGCUAUGAGCCUAUGAUUAUAUUAUGAAGUCCUAUUAGUUCAACUCCAAAAAAAGUCAUGGUAUUUUAGAAAGGGUUAUUAGCAUCGAAAUACGACAAUUUUGGGUAAUUUGAUUUUGCACGUGAACUUGAAAGGUGUCAAAAAUACAAAAAUUUUAAUGUUGUAGUAAUUUUGUUAUAAAUUUAAUUUUUAUUCAAAUUAAAGUUGACGUGGGAAUUCGAAAUAUUGACGUGUACUCAUCGGACGUUUUAAAAAGUGAUAUGGUAUAGAACAUCUCUAAAAUAUAUUGUAGGAGUAUAAGACAUCUCUAAAUUUGAAAAUUGUAAGGUUUUUAUAGAGUUCGAAUAUCAAGAAAUUGAAUAUGUGGUCAAACUGUUACAACAUUAAAGGUAAUGUACUUUGUAUGUUGUAUGUAUCCUUAAGAAUAUAACACAAGCCUCUCAUGUGCAUUUAAAUUACAGUAGGAUUUGAAGUGUAAUAACCCUUAAGUUAAUGAUAAGUUAUUUUGUUGCCCUUAAUUUUUCUCAUUGUCUAAUUUUUGAUGGUAUACAGAAUGUGCCUGGUUAAUUCUGAGUUCGGCAGUAUUAUUGCUAGUUGUCGGCGUCUUCUUGCUGAUUUUGAUAACGUUAUUGUUCGGUAUGUGAGACGUGAGUCCAUCAUUGGAGCUCACCGUUUAGCUAGAAGUUCUUGUGAUUAUCCUAAUGCGUAUGUUUGGGAAGAACCCCCGUCUCUUGUGGAGGGUCUUCUUCAUAUUCCAUGCGUGUGUGCAUAAUAAAAUCUGAUCUUUUCCUUAAAAAAAAUGAAUUAUGCAGUUACAAAUUGUGGAGGGUCUUCUUCAUAUUCCAUGCAUCUGUGCGUUACAACUGGUUACGAUGUUCCCUUAUUGAAUUUUAUAUUGAUACAGUUAUAAAUUGAGGAGUAUGGUUGCAAAAAUUACAAAUGUUAAUUUUGCAAUAUUGCUAUCACAUUAUGAGUUCUAUUUUUAGCAAAAUAGGGUGUUCUACAUUUAUAUAUCCAAUUACAUUAUUUUCACUAUCAUGUAAUAUUUUCCAUGAAGAUUUUUUGAAAAGAAUUUAUGUAACAGUCUUAAGGUGGAGGCUUCACAUGCAUA